GACGAACGCUGGCGGCGUGCUUAACACAUGCAAGUCGAACGGAAAGGCCUUUUCGGAGGUACUCGAGUGGCGAACGGGUGAGUAACACGUGGGUGAUCUGCCCUGCACUCUGGGAUAAGCCUGGGAAACUGGGUCUAAUACCGGAUAGGACCGCACUUUAGUGUGUGUGGUGGAAAGUUUUUUCGGUGUAGGAUGAGCCCGCGGCCUAUCAGCUUGUUGGUGGGGUAAUGGCCUACCAAGGCGGCGACGGGUAGCCGGACUGAGAGGUUGGUCGGCCACAUUGGGACUGAGAUACGGCCCAGACUCCUACGGGAGGCAGCAGUGGGGAAUAUUGCACAAUGGGCGCAAGCCUGAUGCAGCGACGCCGCGUGGGGGAUGACGGCCUUCGGGUUGUAAACUCCUUUCGCCAGGGACGAAGCGUUUUGUGACGGUACCUGGAGAAGAAGUACUGGCUAACUACGUG
rnacentral:rRNA from 1 species